rnacentral:rRNA from 1 species
GACGAACGCUGGCGGCGUGCCUAAUACAUGCAAGUAGAACGCUGAAGGAGGAGCUUGCUCUUCUGGAUGAGUUGCGAACGGGUGAGUAACGCGUAGGUAACCUGCCUGGUAGCGGGGGAUAACUAUUGGAAACGAUAGCUAAUACCGCAUAACAGUAGAUGUUGCAUGACAUUUGCUUAAAAGGUGCAAUUGCACCACUACCAGAUGGACCUGCGUUGUAUUAGCUAGUUGGUGGGGUAACGGCUCACCAAGGCGACGAUACAUAGCCGACCUGAGAGGGUGAUCGGCCAAACUGGGACUGAGACACGGCCCAGACUCCUACGGGAGGCAGCAGUAGGGAAUCUUCGGCAAUGGACGGAAGUCUGACCGAGCAACGCCGCGUGAGUGAAGAAGGUUUUCGGAUCGUAAAGCUCUGUUGUAAGAGAAGAACGAGUGUGAGAGUGGAAAGUUCACACUGUGACGGUAUCUUACCAGAAAGGGACGGCUAACUACGUG